UGGGGGAUGGUGUAACGGCAACACGCGUGGCUCUGGACCACGUUAUCGGGGUUCGAAUCCCUGUCCCCCAGCCA
rnacentral:tRNA from 2 species